rnacentral:rRNA from 1 species
GGCGAACGGGUGAGUAACACGUGAGCAACCUGCCCCUAACUCUGGGAUAACGCUUCGAAAGGAGUGCUAAUACCGGAUACCAGCACGGAGGACAUCCUAUGUGCUUGAAAGUUUUUCGGUUAGGGAUGGGCUCGCGGCCUAUCAGCUUGUUGGUGAGGUAAAGGCUCACCAAGGCGACGACGGGUAGCCGGCCUGAGAGGGUGACCGGCCACACUGGAACUGAGAUACGGUCCAGACUCCUACGGGAGGCAGCAGUGGGGAAUAUUGCACAAUGGGCGAAAGCCUGAUGCAGCAACGCCGCGUGAGGGAUGAAGGCCUUCGGGUUGUAAACCUCUUUCAGCAGGGACGAAGCGAAAGUGACGGUACCUGCAGAAAAAGCACCGGCUAACUACGUGCCAGCAGCCGCGGUAAUACGUAGGGUGCAAGCGUUGUCCGGAAUUAUUGGGCGUAAAGAGCUCGUAGGCGGUUUGUCGCGUCUGCUGUGAAAAUCCAAGGCUCAACCUUGGACCUGCAGUGGGUACGGGCAGACUAGAGUGCGGUAGGGGAGAUGGGAAUUCCUGGUGUAGCGGUGGAAUGCGCAGAUAUCAGGAGGAACACCAAUGGCGAAGGCACAUCUCUGGGCCGUAACUGACGCUGAGGAGCGAAAGCGUGGGGAGCGAACAGGAUUAGAUACCCUGGUAGUCCACGCCGUAAACGGUGGGUGCUAGUUGUGGGCCACAUUCCACGUGGUCCGUGACGAAGUUAACACAUUAAGCACCCCGCCUGGGGAGUACGGGUCGCAAGACUAAAACUCAAAGGAAUUGACGGGGCCCGCACAAGCGGCGAGCAUGCCG